rnacentral:rRNA from 1 species
UUUGGUGUAUGUGCUUGGCUGAGAAGCCAACAGGGUGAAGCUACCAUCUGUGGGACUACGACUGAAGGCUUCUUAAGUCAGAAUCCUGCCCAGGCGGAAAAACAAGGCAAUGCUGAGGGGCCUCGGAUAGCCUUGGCUACCGGUCCCCUGCCGGCGGGACACUGCCCUACCGCACACGGGGACACGGGUCUGGUGCGGAGAGC